AUUGAACGCUGGCGGCAUGCCUUACACAUGCAAGUCGAACGGCAGCACGGGUGCUUGCACCUGGUGGCGAGUGGCGAACGGGUGAGUAAUAUAUCGGAACGUACCUUAUCGUGGGGGAUAACGCAGCGAAAGCUGCGCUAAUACCGCAUACGCCCUGAGGGGGAAAGCGGGGGACCGUAAGGCCUCGCGCGAUUAGAGCGGCCGAUAUCUGAUUAGCUUGUUGGUGGAGUAAAAGCCCACCAAGGCGACGAUCAGUAGCUGGUCUGAGAGGACGAUCAGCCACACUGGGACUGAGACACGGCCCAGACUCCUACGGGAGGCAGCAGUGGGGAAUUUUGGACAAUGGGGGCAACCCUGAUCCAGCAAUGCCGCGUGAGUGAAGAAGGCC
rnacentral:rRNA from 1 species